UACCCUUAUUCCCUCAAUUUAAAAAGGCAAUUGACAGACAGCAUUGUGUAUUUCACCCAAGAUUUUAGUGUUGUCUAGAUACCCAAAUAGCCCCUCAGGUUCAGUGGUAUCCAGUGUCCAGGGCUCUUCCUUGGCCUCUUGAACAUGGUGCCAUCCCCACUGGAGUCAACAGGGUUUGGCACGACAGGAAGUCCUUUCUUAUUUUUAUUCUUAUUUUUCAUUAAAUGUUUUGUCCUGUAUUAAUGGAAAUGAUUAAGUUAUCUGUGUUUGUGAUAGUUUCAUUUUUAAAAACAUGCCCUUUUACAGAGAAAUGCAAAUUUAAAACGUUAGUCAUGGGGAUUAAAAUCAAGUAUAAACAAAGCUAGACUUCGUUUUUGUGCUUUAUAUAGGAGACUAAAUGAAGAGUAAUUAAUACUGUUUAUAUCUUCCCUGUCUCUUUAAAAUUCCCAUGGCCUUACUGGUUGACAAUUCAGUUAGAAUAUAUUUGUUAUUUUAAAUUUUAAAAGCAUAAGUAAUUUAGACAAAAAUGAGGAAAAUGCUAAAGCAGCACUUUAAAGAGGACCAUAAGCAGAUAAAAUUAAUCAAGCUUAAAGUGAUACUUGUAAUUCUAGAAAUUUUUAUCCAAACAUUAGAAUUUUCCUAUAAUUAUUUUAUUGUUCUUGUUAGUCAUUUAUGUUAUAAAAAAUUAAUUCACAUUUAUCUUAUUGAUAUCAUGGCACUUGACUUGGUAUUUGUAUUUUUUGGAAUUUCUACAUGUCUGAUUUUGAGAUCAAGAACCAACAAUUCAUUCCAGAUAUAAACACAUGAAAAGAAUUCAGUCUCACAAAAUGUGCAUUACCAAAAUGAAACAUCGCCUCUCCUCAAUGUAUCAUAUGCAUUAAUUUUAAUUGUAUUUUUAUUUUUAGUUUUAACAGAUGUAUGAUUUUUGGCUCAUGGAAAUUAAAUUUACACUAUUAUAUAUUAUUUUGGUAAAACCUAUCAAUAUGUUAAUGAUAUUAGGUACUUUGUUUCAUUGUUGAAUUACCAAUUUCAACUGUAGAUGUUAAGAAAAGAAGUAACCAGAGGUGUAUUGAAGUAUGUGUACAUGGAUACAAUCCAGUAUUUAUUUUUAUUAGUGUAUUUAAAUGCAUUUUGAUCUUUAAGAUAUCUUUCUCAGCCUUAUCAUGUUUAGUAUAUAUUUUAUGUAAAAUAUUAUCGGGCUUGAACUUGCCUGUAUCCCUUCUUACCUAUUGGAAAGUAUACUUUCCUUGCAUGCAUAAGAAAUGUAGCACUAUUUCUUAUGUACAUGCUCAGCAGUAGAGAAUGCUUUUUAUGUUAUGAUGUUACAUUCAUGCUAAACAUAUGUUUCAGAAAUUAAAUAUGCUGCAGAUUUGUUUACAUUAAAAUAUUUAGAAUAUUUAACGAGAAGCUGUGUGUUUACAGCAUGCAUUCCAACAUGAGCAAUAUUUCAUCAUCCCCAAGGGGGUGAAAAAUUGGUUUUGGAGGACUGCCAAAAGUCUUAAUCUUUUUAUGUGUAAAGCAUAGAUAUACAUAUAGUACAUAAAAAGAUAAAUGGCACACCUAUGAUAUUAAAAUUCAUACUGCCUUUUUAACAAUAUGAUUUUUUAAAAAACUAUUGAGAAAUGCUUAAAGGGGUGAUAUUUUAAAAAAUCUUGAAAAAUACUGGUUUACAAUAUAAUGCUAAGUGCUAAAGAGGAAAUGAAACUUGAUACUUAGAGUCUCUCCCACUUUGGAGGGUUGGUACGGGACCCCCAUGGAUAACAAUCUACCGAUUCUCAAGUCCCUUACAUAAAAUGACAUAGUAUUUGUAUAUAACCUAUGCACAGCCUCUUGUAUACUUUAAAUUAUCUCCAGAUAAUUAUAAUACCUAAUAAAAUGUAAGAGCUAGGUAGAUAGUUGUUAUGCUACAUUGGUUUUGAAUUUAUAUUAUUUUUAUUGUUGUAUUGUUGUUUUAUUGUUUUUCUCCAAAAUCUUUUAGAUGUGAGAUGGUUUGAAUCCUUAGAUGUGAAACCCAUGGAUACAUAGGGCCAACUAUAUUUGCGUGUGAUAUAUUUACAAAUAUAUACAUAUGCAAUAUACAUAAUGAACACACACACUCAUCUACACACACAUCCACUCACACAGAGAAUACAACUGAAAGUACUUUGUAUGUAUAUAUGCUCACACACACACACACUCCUACAGAGAAUUAUUGUAGAAUUAUAGAAUAUUUUAUAAAAUAUUUUAAAUGCCCUUUUUAUUUGUGAUUUUUACUAAUAAUUUGUAAAACACACAGUUUUUUUUAAUUAUUAUUUUGAAGACCAGUAACUACCAUUGGUUUUAUUUGAGCCCAGUAUCAGACUACAUAGAGGAUUCCAUGUUAUAAAAGACAGGCUUAGAACGCUUGGAGAUUAGCAUGUAACGAGGAAAAGAAUCAUACAUGAAAGUGUCUAACAUAAACAAUGAGCCUUUUUAUGUGUCAAAAGAAAGAUUUGAAUGACAAUGGUUCUACAAUUUAGAAGAAAAUCAGUUCUGCUAAUCUGUGUGCUCAGGGAAGGGUUCAAGGAAGUGUUAGGACUUGAACUUGGCUUUGGAAGACAAGUAUAUCAAUGGCAUUAGGUUUGGUUUAUUUCCAUGGUAUGGAAAAGUUGGUUAACAAGAUAAAUAUUUACUUUUUGCUCACAUAAAAUCUGUCUUGGCAUAAAAUCUGUCUUGGCAGAGGCAGUCCAGGGUUGGCAUAUGACUCUAUUGCCUUCAAGAUAUCUUUCUAUCUUGCUGCUUUACCAUCUUAAUGUUUGGCUUCUAUCCUCAAGGUAACCUCACAGGGUACAAGUGAUGCUGAAGAUCCAGCUUUUAUAUCCAAAUUCCAGGUAAUAGGAAGGAAGAGAAGAUCUCAUUCUUUUCUUUUAAAAAGCCCUCUUGAUAGGCCUGCAAAACACCUCUUCUUAAAACUCAUUGGAUAAAACUCAGUCAUAUUAUGGCCAUGUCUAGUUCCUAGGACCAAUGAAAGCAUUCAUAUGCAAGGAGGCAAUGUCCUCUGCCAACAUUUGGGCAUUACUGGAGACAUAAAAGUAGAAUCGUUAUUGAUUAGGCAAUUAGCUGUGUCUGCGACAGUGCUGCCUUUAACAAUCUAACAAUCUUCGCCUGUUUUAAAUAUAGAACACCUCUUCCCUGCCUCCCUAAAGAAAUAUCUCCAUGGUCUUACACAAGUUCUACAUUCAACACAAAGUCCAUAGUCUCUGGAGAAGAUAUAUCAUUUCCACAGAUCCAGAAUGGCUCCUGAUUAUCCAACAUUAUAUAAUCUGGAAAUAUUUAUUUGCCCCCAAAAUACCCAACAGAAUUGGUACAGAACAAUUAAAUAAGAAAGGUUAUGUAUAAAAGGAGGCGAUUAUAUUACUGUGAGAAUUGAUGUACAAGAGGUACUAAGUGCCAAGGUUGCAUAGAACAGGAGGCAAUUUUUUCUUGUGACUGGAGAGAGCUGGAAAUGGCUCACAGGGGAAAAAAAAUUUAUCUGGACCACAAAG
rnacentral:lncRNA from 10 species